GAUGAAAUCCCCUAGUUAGGGGAUGUAGAUAGAAUUGAAAAGAUCUAAGGUCUGGGCUCACAGGCACUCCAGUGUUUAGAGGUGAGAGAUUGAGAGGUGAGGAAAAACACUCUUGAGGAGAUUUACUAUAAAAAGUGACAGAAAAAUGAGCUCCAGUGGUGGCUGAAAGGUGCGGUGGGGUCAACUGAAGUCUUCUCUUUGUUUAAUUGGGAAAAGUAACAUCAUUUGUGUGAACUGAUGGGACUGAUCUAAAAAGGAGGGAGGAGAGAGAAGGGUGAAGACAGAGGGAAACGCUGAAGUGAUGUCUUUAGUAGGCAAGAAAAGAGGAUUUAGAAGAUAAAGUAGAGAUUUGCCUUAGAUAGGAACUUAAUUAAUUCAUCAUAAUAAUAGUAGGAGCAUAUGGACAUAAUAAUAAUAAUAGCUGAGCAUCUGGGCAUCAUUAGAGAUAAGUGAGUAAAUGUGGUGUGGGGGCCUGUGGAAGUGCUCUUUGGUGAGGUCAUUUUUCAGACAAGGUUUUCCUGAGGUGGCAAGUAUCUAAUUAAGGAAGUGCUCCCAGGAGAAAGCUUUUGGGAAUUGGGAACUGAAGACCGACCGAGAAGAAGCAAAUGCUGGCAACGGUCCCAAGAGUAGCUUCAGGAUGAUCCCAGAGGGAAAUCCUGGAGGGUUUGACUAUGAAUAGCUCAGUCUUACUGGAGGAUCUCAAUCUUGCUGGAGGGUCUCAAUUCUACUGGAAAGCUUCAGAGAAAACAGGUGAAAUUCAGAUUUGUCCUUUCAGAGGAUAGGGGAGAAGAAACUUAUGUUGACCAGUCACAGAUCCCAUUGCCUGAGGGUCACAAUAACUUGAAAUGCAAACCCCAGUGUAAAAUCCACUGCAGUAGUAAAGGAAACGAUGACUUUCACCAAGUGAUCAUGGGGGUUCUCUGUAGUGUACUGAAUUGGCAUUUCAACUCCACAAGGUGAUAAGAACUUGUCACAGAGACUGUGCUUGAAGUUUCCUCUUAGCCACGGUCAAAACUAGUCUAUAAAGACUUAAGUUGAACAAAGAAGAAUGAGAAAACACACUUAACCCAUUGAAUUCAGAGGCGAAAACUUACGCUAUUAAUACAGGAAAUAUGUUCAAAGAACCAGUCUCACCAGAAUAGCUAAUUCAGACUGCUUAAAGAUUGAAAAGUUUUUCAUAUGUG
rnacentral:lncRNA from 1 species